rnacentral:lncRNA from 1 species
CCCAUUCCACUUAACAGAAAAGAUGACAUCACCUUUUCCUUUGCUUCCUUUUCACACUUUGUCCUCCCUGAGGUCUCUGGAAAAAUCUCAAGAAAAUAAUCAGCCCUCACUUUCUACUCAUAGAAGUGUCCCAGAAAAGGACCUGAGGCAAAUCUUUGUAUUUCAUUUGUCCUUAAUGAUGGGAGAGCUGUUGUGCCCAGAAGACUUGAAAGCAGGGAGGCGAUUCCAAGAUGCCUAUAACAGCAGGACGUUUUUCUCAGGGAGUACUCAUUCAUGCCUCACUGAAAGUGAAGAUCCUGUCAGGUAUGCUUUACACAAUUAAGCCUUUGCUUGAAUCAGGUGCAUAGUCACGAAGAAGAAUCCAUCAGAACAAAAAUGAUUUAUGCUUUUUAUAAAGUGAGAUACUUCCUUAACUAUUUGAACCAAAACAAAGUCAAAAUCAAACAAAAGCUUUCAUUAGCCUAGUAUCACCUCAAUUUUCUUGUCACCUGACAGAUCCACGACAAGACUGACUUCACAGCCAUUUCACUGAUCAAGACAGUCUUUAUGGGCAUUUUUAGUAAAAGAUAAAUGGUAAGGAGAACUUUUUAUGUAAGAGAUUGCAUUUGGAAAAUGUUUAGUUGCACUGAGCAUGUGUUUGGAGUAACCUGUGACCUAUGUCUCUGUUGUUUAAGGAUUUUUGUUCCAGGAUUUGUUUCUUGCUGGAGAAAUGUGCCCACAAGCCUGUACUCAUAGAUUAUUGUACACUGACAGCCCAGGCAUGGGCCUGAUUCUAAGCAAAACUGUGACAGCAGUCUAUGGGGAUCCCCUU